rnacentral:rRNA from 1 species
UACGUAGGGGCAAGCGUUGUCCGGAAUCAUUGGGCGUAAAGAGCGUGUAGGCGGCCAGAUAAGUCCGCUGUGAAAACUCGAGGCUCAACUUCGAGCUGUCGGUGGAAACUAUUUGGCUAGAGUCCGGAAGAGGAGAGUGGAAUUCCUGGUGUAGCGGUGAAAUGCGCAGAUAUCAGGAAGAACACCCGUGGCGAAGGCGGCUCUCUGGUACGGAACUGACGCUGAGACGCGAAAGCGUGGGGAGCAAACGGG